rnacentral:rRNA from 1 species
AUUGAACGCUGGCGGCAUGCCUUACACAUGCAAGUCGAACGGCAGCACGGGUGCUUGCACCUGGUGGCGAGUGGCGAACGGGUGAGUAAUACAUCGGAACAUGUCCUGUAGUGAGGGAUAGCCCGGCGAAAGCCGGAUUAAUACCGCAUACGAUCUACGGAUGAAAGCGGGGGACCUUCGGGCCUCGCGCUAUAGGGUUGGCCGAUGGCUGAUUAGCUAGUUGGUGGGGUAAAGGCCUACCAAGGCGACGAUCAGUAGCUGGUCUGAGAGGACGACCAGCCACACUGGGACUGAGACACGGCCCAGACUCCUACGGGAGGCAGCAGUGGGGAAUUUUGGACAAUGGGCGAAAGCCUGAUCCAGCAAUGCCGCGUGUGUGAAGAAGGCCUUCGGGUUGUAAAGCACUUUUGUCCGGAAAGAAAUCCUUGGCUCUAAUACAGUCGGGGGAUGACGGUACCGGAAGAAUAAGCACCGGCUAACUACGUG